UUGUUGCAGUUUGCGACUCCCGGAGCUCUAUAUAUAAUAGGAUAUAUAAUAUAAUUGUAUAUAUAAUAUCACGGCCAACAGCUCUGUGCGCCUCCGGAUGGCCGUAGCGGGGGGAGCUCUCAUAGGGAAUGGGCUUCUCUGGGUUUGUUUACCAGCGUUGCUAUGGUUUCCGGUCUUGUGUGUUCCAACGGUUUAACAGGCAGGCCCAUCUAAUGAAUCUCUGUCUAAUCAAUACUUCAUUUUGUUUAUGUCAGUUGAAUUUUGUUACAAGUUGAAUGCAAAUGAUCACUGUUAGCAUUCGAAAAGGCACAAGCUCUUACUUGACUCUUUUCAGUCUGUGUUUUUAGUUUUAUGGCACAAAAUGAUGGCAUUUGGGCUUAAAAAGCCAAACGUAUAUUUUUUUGUCUAGACCAAUUGAUUUGAAAAUAUACAAUUUCCUAAUACUUGACGCACUUCUGAUCAGAUAUUCAAGAGAUGUAAUACAAACAAACACAUUUGUACUUAUUUUUUCACCCAAUGAGAAUCGAUAAGAGAAUCGAUAAGGAAUCGGAUCGAUAAGCAGAAUCGGAAUCGUGAAAUUCUUAUCAAUUCCCAUCCCUAGGACUCGUAUACCCGUAUUUCUGAAGUUGUGGAAGAGAACGCUAUUCCAUCAGUGAAUUAGGCCAUAUUAUUUGGCCAUAAACUGAGCCAUUUGAAGUUUGAAAUUCAUGUGGUCAUGCAUCUAUCUCAUCGGAGACUACAAACGCGCUGUCAAAAUAUCAACUCGUCAGAUUCAAAUGCGCUCAUGGCUCUUAAAGGGGAUGGGAGAUGGCAAUCUCAUUGGUUUAUUGCAUGUUACGCCCAAACCACACCUACGGGUAAUUAGGCUACUUCAGACCAACCCUUUUUGGAUUUGCGCCUGGCGCAAGAGUCAUUUAUCCACCGGUAAAAUAACAACAUCGCCAUAGAACCGCCCACAAAGCUACUUGCGUUUGGCGCUUCUCACUUGCGUUUCAGACCGUUAAAAUAGGGCCGAUAGUCUUUAUGAUUCAUAAUAUCAUCCAAGGCGCACAUAGCUUUUGGCCGUGAUAUUACACAGCAAAAUCUGCAGUGUUAAAUAGUGUUAAUAUUUCAGUGUUAAUUAUUUUGAGUUGCUUAGUGUUGAUUUUGGUGUUUUUUAACACUUGCAGUGCUAAAAUAGCUCUGUGCGUGGUAUUGUUUAAGAGAGUUGAUUGUAUGCACGCGCAACAGAGUUAAUCUCAGAGUUAAUUCCAUAUCCGGUUUUAAGGCGCUCUUUUUCUUGAACGCGGCCAUUGCAGUCUUGGUGGAGAAAGGCAGCCCAGCUUCUGGCAGGGGAACAUAAUAUACUAUUUGAAAAGGUAAGGACCAGAUAUAUUUAAGUUACUCUUUAAAAAUGAGUGUUCAUACAAUAUGUGCCGCAAAUGUGUUGAAGUUGGUGGGGAUAUUAAUGCUUAUUUUGCUUUGGCUACAUUAGCUAACUAGCACCAAUUAAUGGCCGAAUGUUUCGCAAUUUCAUCAGUUAAUGAACUGGCUCUUUUUAUGUAUUUAUUUGUACUCGUUUUUUAAGUUCUAAGUAAUAAGACCGAUUUAGCAGGGCUACCCAAGCUGUAGCUAUUUAGCUGGCCAGGUUGGGUAAAUUAUCUAUGCUAAUGUGUUUUCAACAGAAGAGAAACAUGUGGUGGGUUCUGGAGGGUGCUUGAAACGUUUCUGUCGGGUAAGUAACUGCAAAGUUAGAUCAGUAAAAUAUGCAUGUUAUGGCUUGGCCGAAUUUUUAAAUGAGUGGUUUAGUAUGUUUGAUACUAUUGAACUAGGUCAAUUUGCUAUGCUAACAGUGUUUGCUACAGGAGUGUAAGGCAUGUGGUGAGGUCAAAAUUAUCAAUUAAGCAGCGAAUCUUUUGCCAGUUUAUUAGCAAAUUAAUGGUCUCCUUUUUUUGCCAUUUUUACCAGUUUAAUUUACUGUUAACGUUGUGAACAAAAUAACCAAUUGGCUAUUUAGCUGGCCAUACAGGUGAAAUUAGCUAUGGUUACUGUUUUCUACAGGAGAGUAACAGGCCUGAGGUCUGGAGGUUUCUUUCCGAAAGUUACUGCUAAGUUAAACAACUAAAAUAUGCAUGUAGUGUAUUUUUUAGCUAAUGGCAACACGACUUGCAAUUUCUGUUUAUAACUCCCGGCAAAGGAAUAAUUAAAACUUUAACAUUAUCUCCAGUUCUUUUUUUUUUAGAUGAGGCAUCAUGUUGUUGAAGGUGAAAUACCAGGGUACCAAGAAGUACAUCAGAUUGCAGUCAGGCUUCACCUAUUUGGAAUUCAUCAAUGAAGUCAAAAGCAAGCUUGGUCUUCCUGAUGCGGCAGUGGAUGAAGGCAUCCUUCUUGAACUGAUAAGAGUCCAAUCCUGACUUAUGCCUGACAGUAUGUGACAGCUUUCCAGUUGAAGAUCAUUCAUCACCAUCUUCCCUCACGGAUACCAUGUCAUACCAUGUCUUCGAGUGAUAAUGACCUCUCCAGUCGAAGAGAAUGGGGGAUUCCCGUAGACAGAAAUGUAUCCAACUUUGAAGUCAUGACAGAUCUACCACAGAGGGCUGAGGGUCAGAGGCAGCGUAAGAGAUGGUAGAAAAGGCCUCGCUAAGGAAACCUGGAAGUGAGGAUGUCCUGGAAGAGUACAAGUCAGAAAAUACGUUGAAGCACAGCACCCGGAGACACCUUGUUAACAUUCUGGCUAGCCAUAUGACUGAAAUGCAUGGGAGCACCUCUAUGAUGGGGGGAAAAACACAGGAUAUUUAUCAUGGCGCCUGAGGACCAUGUCCAGGAAGAACCGGGCGACGAGCAGUCCACAGGCAGCCACAGUGCCUCAACUACAAGAACCAAAGCGCCAAAGACCAGCCGCCACAGAGCCUCAAUAGCUUGAUGGAGAUGCUUGCAGGGAGGCAAUUUAUUUUGUUGUUCACUCUCCUGAUGAAGCAAGUGUGUUUGAGAAGAUGAAGUUGACCUUACAACAUCGCCAAGACCUAGUGCGUGACGCAGAGAUCUGCCGACGUCAGAUCUCUGCAUUUCCCAGUUUUUUAGAUGUCAAAGGACUAGUGAGUUGUGAAUUUUAUUUAAAAUCCAGUCUUCAAACUCUUGUCUUUAAUUUGGUUGGUUUCCAGUAGUUAACUAUGCUCUGACCAUUAGAGUAAUGUAUUCACAUUUGUGUAUGAUCAACAGCUGAAUCAAGACUUACUGCUGCUGUUUGGUGGUGAAACAGCAUCCAAGAUGCUUGAAAAAUGGGACACGGCAUUAAAGAACAAGGUUAUCAAAGAGGCCAAACAACUGACUCAGUCAAAAGAGCUGUGCCGACUUCUGAAUGCUGCUGAGAAACCUACGGAGAAUGAUGACACUAUUAAGUGUGCAGUGUUGGUUUUCAUUCCAAAUAGCUAGUGCUCUUUACUUUGUGCCUUCCAAGUAGAUACUGAUGACUUGUUUUGUGUUGUAUCUCCCCCCUGAUAGGCUGGGACAGUGACAUGGCUUCUCUGCUGCUGCUCCUUCAUCUCUUGCCACCCACAGCUGGACGGAAGAAGAGCAAAAUCAGUGCCAGUGAUGCAGUGGACAUUUUUUUUCAUUUUCACAAGUCGUGCUGCAGUAUUGAUGAACACCUGCGUGGGAGAAAGGGUCAACAACCGUACAUCCUUGCUGCUGGUCGCACCCAGAACAAGAUUGACACCUUCUAUAUCGUCGUUGACAAACAGUUCAUCCCCUGCCAUGCCACCAGCUUCUAAGGUGCUUUUGAUGAACUUUUCAAAUCACACUAUGUGUUCAACCUGUCAUACGAGGAGUCCCUGGUCCAGCUCUACACAUUUGUGCAGACAACAGUACUCUACAACAUCGAUGUCACAACAACAGACGAGUCUCUUGAAGAAUCCGUGAGUUGCGGGCGAAACUCCUGAACUAGGAUUAAAACAUGUUUAAGUGUUUCAUAUGUGAAGCUGUACACCAGACUGUCCAGUCCUUGGUAACCCAUUUAAGAAUUGAUCACAGUUUCUAUCCUAGCAGCAGGUUUAAGUUGGUUUGUGCACAAGAUCGUUGUAGGCGUCAGUUUUUGUCAUAUUCUAGUUUAAAAAAACAUUUAAUGAGAGUUCAUGAGGAGAGUUUUGUCAAAGUGGUGUUGCAGCAAACCCGGAGUCCUUUCAACCUAUCCAUCAGUGUCCAAAGUACUUCAGAAGUUGGUGAAACAGGUGUCCCACAGAGCUUAAAGGCUGGUUGUUUUGAGGACAAUGUAUCUGGUGUUAACAAAGAACAUACUAAAAAUAUCUGUGCUACAAUUGUUGCUAAACUUCAAGAAAGUGGUAUGGCAAAUAGUCUUGUUGCAACAAUUGUUAAUGAUUUGGAAGAACUUGCUACUGGACUGCACUCCCAAGUUAAGCAAGAAAUACUAUCUGCUGUGCCUAAAGACAAUCCUAGCCGAUCUACAUUAGAAGGUCUUGAUACUUUUGAAAAUCCAUUUGUAAGAUUGAAUACUGAAACUAAAAGAAUAAGAUAUUUCAACGAAAAAUGGGGUGUUGUUGAGCCUGUAGAAAUAAUGUUAGGACAUUGAUUCGAUACAAGGCGAAAUAAACAAACCGUUUAAGUUCAAGUAAAAUACACUUUUUUUUACGUUCCAAUUUUGGAAACGAUCCAAUUCAUGUGCCGCAAUUCUGAUAUGUGUAAAUUGCUUGGGAAAAACGUUUGUAUCGAAAACUGACAAUUUGAAGACUUUUGUGAUGGUAGUUAUUUUAAGACGCAUGCAUUGUUCUCUAAACAACGGACUUCUUUACAAAUUCAGAUGUACUAUGAUGACUUUGAAACUGCUAACCCACCGGGUUCAAAACGCGGUAUUCACAAAA